UGAGGAAUAUUGGUCAAUGGGCGUAAGCCUGAACCAGCCAUCCCGCGUGCAGGAAGAAGGCGCUAUGCGUCGUAAACUGCUUUUCCGGAGGAAGAAAACCCCUGACGUGUCGGGGCUUGCCGGUACUCUGGGAAUAAGCAUCGGCUAACUCCGUGCCAGCAGCCGCGGUAAUACGGAGGAUGCGAGCGUUAUCCGGAUUUAUUGGGUUUAAAGGGUGCGUAGGCGGAAUAAUAAGUCAGUGGUGAAAACCUUCAGCUUAACUGGAGACUUGCCAUUGAUACUGUUAGUCUUGAGUACGGUCAAGGUAGGCGGAAUGUGUAAUGUAGCGGUGAAAUGCUUAGAUAUUACACAGAACACCGAUUGCGAAGGCAGCUUACUGGGCCGCAACUGACGCUGAUGCACGAAAGCGUGGGGAGCGAACA
rnacentral:rRNA from 1 species